GCUGGCGGCAUGCCUAACACAUGCAAGUCGAACGGUAACAGGUCUUCGGAUGCUGACGAGUGGCGCACGGGUGAGUAACGCGUGGAUAUCUGCCUAUGAGUGGGGGACAACUUUCGGAAACGAAAGCUAAUACCGCAUAAUCUCUACGGAGCAAAGCAGGGGACCUUUCGGGGCCUUGUGCUUAUAGAUGAGUCCGCGUCAGAUUAGCUAGUUGGUGGGGUAAGAGCCUACCAAGGCGAUGAUCUGUAGCUGGUUUGAGAGGAUGAUCAGUCACACUGGAACUGAGACACGGUCCAGACUCCUACGGGAGGCAGCAGUGGGGAAUUUUGCACAAUGGGCGCAAGCCUGAUGCAGCGAUGCCGCGUGUGGGAAGAAGGCCUUUGGGUUGUAAACCACUUUCAAUUGGGAAGAAGGGAUGAGAAUUAAUAAUUCUCUGACUUGACGGUACCUUUAGAAGAAGCACCGGCUAAUUUCGUGCCAGCAGCCGCGGUAAUACGAAAGGUGCAAGCGUUGUUCGGAUUUACUGGGCGUAAAGAGAUCGUAGGUGGUUUGUUAAGUUGGAUGUGAAAUCCCGGGGCUCAACCUCGGAACUGCAUCCAAAACUGGCAGACUUGAGUUCGGGAGGGGUAAGCGGAAUUCCGUGUGUAGCAGUGAAAUGCGUAGAUAUACGGAGGAACACCUGAGGCGAAGGCGGCUUACUGGACCGAUACUGACACUGAGGAUCGAAAGCGUGGGUAGCAAACAGGAUUAGAUACCCUGGUAGUCCACGCCCUAAACGAUGUCAACUAGCCGUUGCGGGUAUCGACCCCUGCAGUGGCGCAGCUAACGCGAUAAGUUGACCGCCUGGGGAGUACGGUCGCAAGA
rnacentral:rRNA from 1 species